CAACAAGGAAGGCAAAGCUGGGAGGGGAUCUGUUGUAAAUGUCUAGCCUAGGUGUGUCCCUGGAGGUUUUCUGGCAGAAAUUUGAGCUUGCAGAGUCCUCAGUUCAAGUGUGCUUGUUGGGAGAUGCUGAUUGCGAGCCUCGGUUUUUAGAAGGUGGCAUGCUGUGGUCUGCGGUGGGCUAUGAAUUCUGCUGGAGUCCAUGCGCUUUGCAGCAGUGCUGCUUCUUCUCACAUCAGGAAAAGGCACACUGGGACAGAGCAAUGAUGUCGGAGAAGGACAAUCACAUCUCUGCAGACUUUGAAGAAGCAGGUGACAUCAAGAUGAGCCUACUCUGGUGAGAAGAUAUAAUGGAGAAUUUUCUGAGAAUGAUUUAUUGAGUCAGCCAGCAUGACUCUGGAACAACAGAUACUUUUCCAGCACAGAGCUACACACAGAAGUUUAGUGAGAAUACCUACGAGACAAAUCUGAGGUAAAUUUUUGUUAAAAAGUUUUAUCUAGACUUUUGAGUUACAGUGCAGAAUGAAAAAAAAAAAAAAACCAAAACUAAAACAACCAAAACUGGACAGAAAAAAAACCUGAACCAAAAGCAAAAUCAAAAGGGAGCAUAUUCAUGUUUAAUU
rnacentral:lncRNA from 1 species